AACAGUUAGCCAUUCCGUCAGUGGAUUUGCCCAGCAAAGGAGAGGCUUGAGAGGGUUGAUUUGAAAAAUCCUUCUACAGUUCUCAAUAGUCUAUCAAUCUUCCACCAGUUUUCGUUACACUGGUUUAGUCAAACCAGUGGAUUUGCUUCCACUUCACCUAUUUCAUCUUCACAUAACCUUAUUGGCUUUUUCAGUAGGAAUCAACUAUUUCACCCAGGCACAUACACAGAGAUUGUCCAGUGCUUGGAUUCAUUUGUUCUUUUCUGAGAAAGAGAUUUUUACACUCAUAUGUAUUUUAUUCCUAGCUGGAGAAAUAUCAAAAGGAUUUGAAUAUCACCAUCUGGAAGUUGUGCCAUGGACUGCAGUGGGCAGAAUUAAAAAGUGUUUGGCAAGAAAAUCACAGCCAUUUCAGCUAAAGCCGAUAGGCAGCCUAUGGAAGGCCGGUUCCUGCAUCCCUGUCACUGAGGCUCGGCCAUUAGAUUCUUGCUAAUGUGGAACUUUUCAAAUCUUUUGAGGCACUCUACCUCCAAGAACACGCAUGAUUAUGCCAACAGAUGGACUUAUCUUUAUGUGAAGCCAAUUAAUGGAUGGCUGUGUACAUUUUGGCUCAUAUGAAGAUCUAGCAACCUUUA